rnacentral:rRNA from 1 species
CCUACGGGAGGCUGCAGUGAGGAAUCUUGGGCAAUGGGCGCGAGCCUGAACCAGCAAAGUAGCGUGAAGGAUGACUGCCCUACGGGUUGUAAACUUCUUUUAUAAAGGAAUAAAGUGAGGCACGUGUGCCUUUUUGUAUGUACUUUAUGAAUAAGGAUAGGCUAACUCCGUGCCAGCAGCCGCGGUAAUACGGAGGAUCCGAGCGUUAUCCGGAUUUAUUGGGUGUAAAGGGAGCGUAGAUGGGUUGUUAAGUCAGUUGUGAAAGUUUGCGGCUCAACCGUAAAAUUGCAAUUGAUACUGGCAGCCUUGAGUAUAGUUGAGGUAGGCGGAAUUCGUGGUGUAGCGGUGAAAUGCUUAGAUAUCACGAAGAACUCCGAUUGCGAAGGCAGCCUACUAAACUGCAACUGACAUUGAUGCGCGAAAGUGUGGGUAUCAAACAGGAUUAGAUACCCCUGUAGUC